rnacentral:ncRNA from 1 species
UAAAAGUUUGAUUUUAGCUUAUUAAUUCAUUAUUAAUUUAAUUUACAUGUAAAUUUUUGUAUGAAUUUUUAUUUAUUUAAAUAAUGAAUAAAAUUUUUGUAUUCGCAGUAAUUAAUAUUAUAAAUUAAAGAAAUUUAGAAAUAGUAAUAUUAAAAAGUAUUGGCUAAAUUUGUGCCAGCAGUCGCGGUUAUACUAAUAAUACAAAUGAAUUUUUUUAAUUAAAGUUAAAUUGUUUAUAUUUAAAAUUAAAAUAAAUUUAUUAGGUGAAAUUUUAAAUUUUUAAUAUUUUUAAUAAAAUAAUUAAAGCUUGAAAAUUUUAAUAAUAAACUAGGAUUAGAUACCCUAUUAUUUAAAAUGUAAAUUUAUAAAAUUAAAGUAGUAAUAGUUAUGUUCUUGAAACUUAAAAAAUUUGGCGGUAUUUUAGUCUAUUCAGAGGAACCUGUUCUAUAAUCGAUAUUCCACGAUGAACCUUACUUAAAUUUGUAUUCAGUUUAUAUACCGUCGUUAUUAGAAUAUUUUAUAAGAAUGUUAAUUUUCAUAAUUUUAAAAAAGAAAAUAUAUCAGAUCAAGGUGUAGCUAAUAUUUAAGUAGAAAUGGGUUACAAUAAAUUUAUUUAAACGGAUUUAAAUAUGAAAAAUUUUUUAAAGGUGGAUUUGAUAGUAAAAUUAUAAAGAUUAAUAAUUUGAUUUUAGCUCUAAAAUAUGUACACAUCGCCCGUCACUCUUAUUAUUAAGGUAAGAUAAGUCGUAACAUAGUAGAUGUACCGGAAGGUGUAUCUAGAAU